rnacentral:tRNA from 1 species
GGGAAGGUGGUUGAGUGGUUAAAAACAACGGUUUGCUAAAUCGUCACGCAAGUAUAAUUUGUGUCAUGGGUUCGAAUCCCAUUCUUCCUA